rnacentral:lncRNA from 1 species
AAAAGCCAAAUCCAGCCACAGGUCCUACGUGAGUCAUUUAAAUGCUUACCUUAGUUUCUUCAUCUAUAAAAUGGGGUUACUAAUUUUGCUUACUUCCCAGGGUUGUCAUGAAGAUCAAUUUAAAUAACUGUCCAACACUUAGCGCAGUGUCUGGUGCAGUAAUAAUAACCGAUAAUAACUAGCAUGCCGUGAAUACUCUGCUUGACGACAGAGCUCUGAAUGGACAAAAGGCAUUUGAGAUUCUUCCAUUUUCACUAAAUGGCUGACAUCCUUAGCAGCAAUCACACAUCAUUUAGGAAGACUGAUCCUAAGGACAAUGAAUCACAGGCUCAGGUACAACGAUAUAGAAAACAGUGGUCAGGAAAUUGUAAAAAUCACCGACAUUUCCCGAGAGAAGAAGACAAAAGGGCCAGAAUAAGUGAUUAAAGCGAAAUGACAUAAAAAAUCGUCCUUUUGCUGUAGACGAUCCUCUCCGAGGCAUCGACAGCUCAUUGUUGAAUUUGUCGCCUGUAAAAACGCCUUUAGGAAAUGUCUUUUCCUCUCUCGUAACCGUGAUCACUGGAGCGCCACAAAGAGCUGUUUUGAGUACGGAAUGGUGCACGCCUGUCUUUGGAACAAUCUCUUAAAACGAUUUCCUUGCAUUCAGACUCCAACAUGAAGACCAGCACGGGCUGCUGGAGGCUCGGAGCUGCCGUCAGAGACCAGGAGGCGGCUCUCUUGUUUCCGUGCCGCUCACCGUGGCUCGCUGCGCUUCAGAGGCUCUUUUUAGGGGAGAGCUGAGUCGGCACGUUGAUUGCUUCUUGCUUCCAAUGACGGCUUUUUCACCGAGGAAGAGACCCGGCACAUUUCAGGAGAGAUCACAUGAUUCCUGGCAAGGCGCUUGAACGUGCCAUAAAGAAGGACGCGAAUAGCCAGGGAGGGAAGAAGUGAUGACAGGAAACCAGGAUGACUCAUCAAGAAGAGCCGCGUCAGGAAAGAGAGCCAGCAGAGGUCCAGAAACUGGAAUCCACCCCAGAAUUCCUUGGCAGCUGUCCAGACCUGAUGGCAGAAAUGCCUUUUCCACAUCAAGGGAGCAGCUACUCUAGAAGCUUUGGUGCAUUUGGAAAUGAACUUGGUGGGAAGAGAACGUUCUAGGAGCCACUCUGCAUGGAAGCAAGAGAUUUGGGCGGGUGCCCCAGGGCUUGAGUAAGGUGUUUUUGUUCUUUUCAGUAAAUAGUCUUUGCAAAAAGCUAAUUGAUGUUAAUGGGCCAAAUUGGGAAUGGGACCGGAGUCAUUGGAGCAAUCAUUGUUAGAGGGGAGAUGCUAACUGGAGCUAGCAAUUAAUAUUGAUAGCAUACACGAAAGGCUGAGGCAGUGACAGAAAGAGGACGCCCCAGAAUCCCGAGGAGCAAUGGAUCCCGUUCCUCUCUGGUGACCUGGCUUGCUGGUGAGAUUGGUGAUGGAGGUGAGGGUUCUCACACGAUAUACAGAAUGACACCACCGAGAGCCCCAAUAAAAAUCGGAACCCAGUCUUGAGAUCUCGCUGA